GGCAUGGGAGCCGGCCCCUUCAGCGAGCAGAGGCUGGUCGCGAAGCUCAGUGAGUAUUCAGAGUAUCCUUUUUUUUCCAUGGUUACUUUCUUGCAUGCUCGCAAAUUCCGAAGCCUAGAUGUUUCUGUCCGUUUCAUAUUCAAGCAGCCCUACCUUUUGAAAGAUUUUAGUAUUUAUGUGCAGCAGUUUUGAAAUAUUUUAGUAUUUAUGUGCAGCGUGAUUUUUGAAAGAGUUCUUCAACUCUUAAACAGUCCCCCUGAUCUUGGCUAACCCUGAAACAAUUUGUCUUCUCCACGGAGCGGCCACAAUCCUUCGUCAGGCUGCUUCAAUUUCAGUCGGAUCCAGUGGUGCGCAACUUUGCUUGAUAAACUAGAAAUUUCAUAGAGAUGCAGAAUAUGACAUGAUACCUGGUUCUGAUUUUUCAAUUUUUUGGCAUCCCUCGCCCUCACAGCCUCCACCCAUUACCUCAAAGGUCAAUGAGCUCUCCCUCCAACUAUUGGUCUGUCAUGGAAUUUCAUUUAGAUAAUUUUAGCUGAUGGUUUGGUGAUUACACUUGGUUUGUUGAGGAAUUAUACUUCAUACAAUUUUAGUUGAUGGUUAAGAGAUGAUCAAGUCAAUCUUAAAAGUGUCGUAUAUUGUUUGUUUACUGUUUUUGCUUUGGAUGAUUUAGAUGGAAGGCCCAUCACUUUAAUAGGAUAAUGAUAGAGCAUCAACCUGUUAUGGCCUCCAAUUUAUUUACUGUGUCAAGCAUGCAUACUGAUAGGGCUUCAACAUAUUAGUAUGUGGCAAUGCUUAAGACACUUGCUAACCUAUGAAGCAACCUCUCAGUGUUUUACUGUUUUAAUAGGAAGGCAGAUUUCAAUUUAAAAAGUGAAACACGGGAACAAAAAAUUCCAAGUUGCAAUGAAAAAAAGUAAUUCCCAAAAGUAACCCAACUAAAGUUUAUCUUCAAUUCAUGCUGCUGAAAUUAGUCAGGAAUCCUUCUUCAGUUGCCAUAAAGUAGUGUAGCUUUUGGGACCCAUCUCAUGCCUGAAUUUCGUUGCCUUCUAAAAAUAUUUGUCUACACAGUCUAAAGAUAAUCCAUAAAGGGUACCCUUUGCUUGGUGAUACAAGGCAUUCUUCGAGUACCUCCAUCUUGUCUGAAUUAAUGCAUUGAGAUACAUCUCUCAGUAAAUAUUUGUGGGCUUACUCUGAUCACAACAUGCAUAUGAUGGACACUUUUAAUAUUGAAUUGUCUGAACCGCAUCAAGUCAAGGGAGUUUCCUUUGUAUGAUAUUUUUUGUUAAGAUGGGUUUGUUAAAACAACUAAUGUUUGUGGAAAAAAGUUGUCUGGUUGUUAAAUCCCUCUGACACUCUUUUCAGUGGCAUGCUCAACAAAGUAUGUUGUUUUUCUUACAUCACUUCUCUUAUUUUCAUAUACAGUAUGGUCCUCCUUUUGAAUAUACCUGUUAGCCAUAAUGUGCAUUGACACUGAUUGCAACAUGCCACGAGAUUAAACAUUUUUUACGUAUGCAUUACCUUCCCUGGGUGCUGCUAUUCUUGAUUGAAUGUGUUCUUGCAAGUACUGCUCAGCUUCACGCUACUCACUUUGCCUACUGAUAUUUUUCCUCUUACAGAAUUUUUCUUUGCUUUGUAAAGUUUUGUUUUAACAUCAUAUUCUUCAGUGGAUUUCUUGACCUGUGACUGGUGGAGGUUGAGCAAACGUCACUUUGCCUUUUAUCUGAUCUGAGCCAUUUCAUUGUCAUGUGAACGUUGCAAUAUAAUGCCCAGAAGAAUUCAAAGUAUGGCCGGCUCACGCCUUGUACUCAGAUUUAUGCGUUGUGGAUGAAAGUGAUUUCUGAUGCAUUCAGUGAGGUAAUAUUGUUUUCUUUUAAUUAAUCUACUAGACAUGCUGGAACGGGAUAAUCUUGGUCUGGUGUUUAGAGAACAUUGUAAUCUCAUCUUCAGGUAUAUCUUGUCCAGAAAAUUUUUGUGUUUGUCUUCUUCGCAAUUUGGGCCGAUGGAUGAUCAGGCUGCCAAGGCAUUCCGUCCCUUCUCCAUUUAGCAGGCCAAGACUUGCAGUGAACAAGGGUUACACAACGUGCCAGAUUUGAUUUAUACUUUUCCGAUGCUAGCACUGAGAGAAUAUAUAUAUAUAUAUAUAUAUACUUGAAGAUUGAUGCUUAUGGAGGUAAUUUAUAUGCCUGAGUUGCUACAUUUCAUAUAAUGAAGAUUGAUGCUUCACUUUUUCUCAAAAAAAAAAUGAUGCUUCACUUGUGUAUGGGAGCGAAUUCAAUAUCCACAUAAGGCUUCAGAAGAUUUCUGACAAGGUUCGAGAGGCACAAGGUGCGGAUCGUAGAGGCUAGGCGGCAGGCUGUGUUCGAGGUGGAGGCGCGGGUGCUUGCGUCAAGGAGGCGGCUGGCGGAGCUGGAGUCGAUGCAUGCAGAGGGUGAGAGGAUGAAAGCCGCCACACAGGAGCUGGACAACCUUAAGAGGGUUCACUCGUGUCUGAUGAAGAUAACUAGAGUAUGAGCUGCUAAUUUGCUCACAGAUAACUAGCUAUUUAAGCAGAUCUGUAAUUUAGUUAUCAGUGCACAACCAGAAAAUAUUGAUAGAGGUGCUUGUUAAGCAUAAGAGACAGGUCAAUGUUCUCUCCGACCACAUAGUUGGCUGGUUAUAUCUUGUCAUUAUUGAUGCUAUUUGUUCUAUACUUCUGUCCUUACAAAUUAGAAGCCUCCUGCUGUCCUCCAUGUCUUGUAGCAGUGUUCAGCAGCUGCGUUUUGUAAAACUGUAUGAUCUGUUCUGCGUGAGAUUGUUCAGGGCCCGUUUGGAUCCUAGGGAACCAUUGCAUGGCACAAUUCCUAGCCAGAUUGCUUGCGUAAUUGAUAUAACUUUUGAUUACGUGGA